GAUAAACGCUGGCGGCGUGCCUAAUACAUGCAAGUCGAGCGAACGGACGAGAAGCUUGCUUCUCUGAUGUUAGCGGCGGACGGGUGAGUAACACGUGGAUAACCUACCUAUAAGACUGGGAUAACUUCGGGAAACCGGAGCUAAUACCGGAUAAUAUUUUGAACCGCAUGGUUCAAAAGUGAAAGACGGUCUUGCUGUCACUUAUAGAUGGAUCCGCGCUGCAUUAGCUAGUUGGUAAGGUAACGGCUUACCAAGGCAACGAUGCAUAGCCGACCUGAGAGGGUGAUCGGCCACACUGGAACUGAGACACGGUCCAGACUCCUACGGGAGGCAGCAGUAGGGAAUCUUCCGCAAUGGGCGAAAGCCUGACGGAGCAACGCCGCGUGAGUGAUGAAGGUCUUCGGAUCGUAAAACUCUGUUAUUAGGGAAGAACAUAUGUGUAAGUAACUGUGCACAUCUUGACGGUACCUAAUCAGAAAGCCACGGCUAACUACGUGCCAGCAGCCGCGGUAAUACGUAGGUGGCAAGCGUUAUCCGGAAUUAUUGGGCGUAAAGCGCGCGUAGGCGGUUUUUUAAGUCUGAUGUGAAAGCCCACGGCUCAACCGUGGAGGGUCAUUGGAAACUGGAAAACUUGAGUGCAGAAGAGGAAAGUGGAAUUCCAUGUGUAGCGGUGAAAUGCGCAGAGAUAUGGAGGAACACCAGUGGCGAAGGCGACUUUCUGGUCUGUAACUGACGCUGAUGUGCGAAAGCGUGGGGAUCAAACAGGAUUAGAUACCCUGGUAGUCCACGCCGUAAACGAUGAGUGCUAAGUGUUAGGGGGUUUCCGCCCCUUAGUGCUGCAGCUAACGCAUUAAGCACUCCGCCUGGGGAGUACGACCGCAAGGUUGAAACUCAAAGGAAUUGACGGGGACCCGCACAAGCGGUGGAGCAUGUGGUUUAAUUCGAAGCAACGCGAAGAACCUUACCAAAUCUUGACAUCCUUUGACAACUCUAGAGAUAGAGCCUUCCCCUUCGGGGGACAAAGUGACAGGUGGUGCAUGGUUGUCGUCAGCUCGUGUCGUGAGAUGUUGGGUUAAGUCCCGCAACGAGCGCAACCCUUAAGCUUAGUUGCCAUCAUUAAGUUGGGCACUCUAAGUUGACUGCCGGUGACAAACCGGAGGAAGGUGGGGAUGACGUCAAAUCAUCAUGCCCCUUAUGAUUUGGGCUACACACGUGCUACAAUGGACAAUGCAAAGGGCAGCGAAACCGCGAGGUCAAGCAAAUCCCAUAAAGUUGUUCUCAGUUCGGAUUGUAGUCUGCAACUCGACUACAUGAAGCUGGAAUCGCUAGUAAUCGUAGAUCAGCAUGCUACGGUGAAUACGUUCCCGGGUCU
rnacentral:rRNA from 1 species